GGGUCUCACCCCAGCCUCUACGAUGUUCUCAGGAAGCCAAUAGAACACACCUGGAUUAACAUCUGCUUCAUCAAGGCUCCAAAGCACUAGAAUAACAGGCCAUGCUCUGUACAGCAUGGAAUUGUGAGCAAAGUCCCAUGGAGAUAGGAGGGGAGAAUGAUGGGCUGGAGGCAGAAACUGCAGAGACUGGCUCCGCAUAGCUGCUGUGAGAAAAUCCUGGAAAUGGAGCUGAUAUCUGUGUUCUUGAGGAACCACACCAGAGACGCUAGGACCCUCUGAAAUCACGUAAAGAGCUCUGAGC
rnacentral:lncRNA from 1 species